CUCCAGUAGGUGGCAGUCAGUGUGGCUAAUCUGUGGCAAGUUUACCAGAAUGCACCUAUGCGGACUGCCGGACCCUCUAGUGGAGUUUUCCCAGGCAGAUGUGUCCUACAUCAGUGACACUGACAUUACUCAGCACAUCUUUGGCAACCCUUCUUUGGAAGUUACUUUUAAAUCAAUUCAAGAACAAAAGCUCUUCCUUUGUAAAUCUUCGUGACAUUAUGCAUUCUUUGUGGGCUGAUUUAAUUCUUGCAAAUUAGUCAUGAGUCAUUCAGAGUCAAGUCUGGAGCUUAAAACAGAGGCUUCAUCGUGCUGUUUUGAAUCAGAGUCAAAAUGUAUCAAUAAAGAGACUGAUUCUCCUGUGUGCCCAAUGAACUGGCUCUGAAAACAAUUACCUGAGAGGAGGUGAGCUCCCAGUGUUUUGAGCAAAGGUAGGACAAUUUGAUUAAGGUGGCAGGAGCAAGAAAGCUGUUCCAGGUGUCAGAGGAUUUAUUUGAAUAUUAAAAGUGUAGCCUGGGACCAAUCCCGGGACCAAUCUCGGGACCAACCCUGGGACCAACACCAGGACCUCUGUGGGCCUUGUUUCCUCAUCUAUAAAUUGAGGAGAGAGAAAGGGGAUUAGAUCACCUCUCACCUUCCUCGAAGCUCUGACAUUUGGGAUUCUAAACUAAAGCUUUCAAAUACAACCUCUCAUCUUCAUAGGUUAUGUACACGCUGUGAGUUCUAGAAUCGGAAAAGCCCAGGCUGGAAGACCAUCCGUCAGGGUGCUUGUGGGUCACAUAUAACACCGAAUAGGUCCCAGAACAGUGCCUGCUCCUCUUUUCAGAGCCUGCUGUAAAAAUAAGUCUUCCAUGAGACAGCCCUCACACACCGAAUGCCGGGUACAAACUCCCCAUGGUCUCUCCAGAAUCCGUAGCUCAGUCACCUGUUAAGGAAUUGACGUGGGCUUUUCAUUCUAAAAAAGAACAGCUGGUGAAAGAGGCCCAGAAAUCAGGAUUUAAAAAAGAUUCCCAGGUGAUUCUAAUUGUGCAGCCACGGUUGAGAACCACUGACCUACAAGCUGCCCAACCCUCCGUGUUGAGAAGUUCCCUUUGGGGUCGGCGAUAGCCUCCUGACAUGAACAGACACCUGGAAGGGUCUGCCGGGCUCCUUAUGACAAAUGG